UCAAAGGACUCAGAUGAUAAAAGGUUUGCAUGAAUGCACUGGGACGAGACAUGACAGCCAGUAAAUUCUCGUGAAUCUGCAUCAGAACAGUGAAGGAACACCCUGAAAAAGGGGCCGGGAUCCCUGGGCUGCAGUAAAUGGUAUUAUACACUGGACUGUAAAAUCCUGGACAUUCUCAGCAUCUUUAGUCACGAGAAAAAAACAGCACAGGGUAUGAUGAAGGGAUAGUGCAACUUAAGUGUUGCAGCAGAGAGCAGACACAGAGUGUGUGGGUUUUUGUGACGGGACCCUCCAUCACCAGUGACCUCCAGGGCAGGAGCAGGACAGCAGGGAGACCUGACUGGGAGCUGCGAGCAACCAGUGGGUAAAGGACACUGGGGCUGUACUCGCUGGUGGCUGGCACUGACUCCUCACACAGAAUUCCACAGUUUUUAGAGCCUGGAGCCGCUCUCCAGUCUGACAGCUGAGGGGAGCAGAGGCAUCACCCACGGGCACCACCGCAGCGUGUGGAGCGGGCAGCACAGCCCCGGGCGUCCGGCAAAUCAGCUUUACAUGCACUCACAACAGCAAAAUUCUGAACAAAAACAGUAUGAAAGGAAUGGGAGAAGAAAUUGUGAAGGAAGCAGGCCAUGAGCAGCACCUCCCUGAUCCCGGGGGGACAGGCCCUAUGGAUCAUUCCCACGGAAAAGGCAGCAGUCAAUCUCCUAAAGAAAAAGAAAAAUAAAGUUAUGUUUGAGCUUUCCAUGUA